GAAGAUACCACCAUCAGGGGAGAUACCAUCCCGAAUGAAUAAACCAUCCCGAGGACCUCCUGACUCCUGGGAUCAGUCAACGGGCUGAGCCUCUCUUCCCCCCCAUUGGGAUGCCUUUGGGAAUCCUGAGUGAACUGCAUGUGGACAGCUGGAGAAUCGCAAACCAAUUAUUUGGAUUAAUAAUGCUAUGCUUUACCCUGACCUUAAUGCAAUUACAGACUUUAAAGGAAACUUAGCUGCUGUGGUUGUGCACGGAGCUGAGGUGUUUCACCGUGGCAUCUAACCAUGCGUUGUCACAGCAUAGCACAAUCACUGGAACAUCUCAAAACAAAAAGGAUCUAAAUCUCUCUACUUUAGUUCUACAUGGAAACCAAAUAUUUUCCAAAGAUGAAUGGAGUUGGAAUUAUUCUCUAAGAAUGGCUGAACUUCAAGCCAUUUCUAGCCAGACAAUACAAAUCAGUUGCUAAAUAACUAA